rnacentral:rRNA from 1 species
ACUGCUCAGUAACACGUGGAUAACCUACCCAAGAGUCCGGGAUAACCCCGGGAAACUGGGGAUAAUACCGGAUAGAUCAAACUUGCUGGAAGGCUGUUUGGUUGGAACUUCCGGGGCGUUUGGAUGGGUCUGCGGCUGAUUAGGUUGUUGCCGGUGUAAUGUACCGUCAAGCCUGUAAUCAGUACGGGUUGUGGGAGCAAGAGCCCGGAGAUGGAUUCUGAGACACGAAUCCAGGCCCUACGGGGCGCAGCAGGCGCGAAAACUCUACAAUGCAGGCAACUGCGAUAGGGGAACAUCGAGUGAUCCUCAUAUUGGGGGUCUGUCCACUCGCCUAAAAAGCGGGUGUUAGCAAGGGCCGGGCAAGACCGGUGCCAGCCGCCGCGGUAAUACCGGCGGCUCGAGUGGUGGCCGAUAUUAUUGAGUCUAAAGGGUCCGUAGCCGGCUUUGCAAGUCUCUCGGGAAAUCCAGCGGCUUAACCGUUGGUCGUCCGGGGGGUACUACAUUGCUUGGGACUGGGAGAGGUAGGAGGUACUCAGGGGGUAGGAGUGAAAUCCUGUAAUCCUUUGGGGACCACCGGUGGCGAAGGCGUCCUACCAGAACGGAUCUGACGGCAAGGGACGAAAGCUAGGGGCACGAACCGGAUUAGAUACCCGGGUAGUCCUAGCCGUAAACGAUACUCGCUAGGUGUCAGCCACGGUGCGACCGUGGUUGGUGCCGUAGGGAAGCCGUGAAGCGAGCCACCUGGGAAGUACGGCCGCAAGGCUGAAACUUAAAGGAAUUGGUGGGGGAGCAC